rnacentral:lncRNA from 1 species
CAACAUUGCAGCUCUAACCACAGCUCUAUAAAAGUUCCCCUUGAGUUUCUGUGGAACUUUCUUUUCACACAGGACUCCUGAUGCAAGCCUCCACUUUGACCAUCCCGCUCCUAUGCGAUGUGUGACGUCCCCGUCAAUUUUUCCGUCCCCCUGAAUCACUGACCCAAGAUAUCUGACAUUGUCCCUCUUGGCGAUGACCUGAGAUCCAAUCAUCACGUCUCUGCCUACUUCGCUCGGCUNN